GAUGAACGCUGGCGGCGUGCUUAACACAUGCAAGUCGAACGAAGCACUUUAUUUGAUUUCCUUCGGGACUGAUUAUUUUGUGACUGAGUGGCGGACGGGUGAGUAACGCGUGGGUAACCUGCCUUGUACAGGGGGAUAACAGUUGGAAACGGCUGCUAAUACCGCAUAAGCGCCCGGCAUCGCAUGAUGCAGGGUGAAAAACUCCGGGGGUAUAAGAUGGACCCGCGUUGGAUUAGCAAGUUGGUGAGGUAACGGCCCACCAAGGCGACGAUCCAUAGCCGACCUGAGAGGGUGACCGGCCACAUUGGGACUGAGACACGGCCCAAACUCCUACGGGAGGCAGCAGUGGGGAAUAUUGCACAAUGGGCGAAAGCCUGAUGCAGCGACGCCGCGUGAGCGAAGAAGUAUUUCGGUAUGUAAAGCUCUAUCAGCAGGGAAGAUAAUGACGGUACCUGACUAAGAAGCACCGGCUAAAUACGUG
rnacentral:rRNA from 1 species